rnacentral:rRNA from 1 species
UACAGAGGGGGCAAGCGUUGUUCGGAAUUACUGGGCGUAAAGGGCGCGUAGGCGGCCCGUUAAGUCGAACGUGAAAUCCCCAGGCUCAACCUGGGAACUGCGUCCGAUACUGGCGGGCUUGAAUCCGGGAGAGGGAUGCGGAAUUCCAGGUGUAGCGGUGAAAUGCGUAGAUAUCUGGAGGAACACCGGUGGCGAAGGCGGCAUCCUGGACCGACACUGACACUGAGGAGCGAAAGCCAGGGGAGCAAACGGG